rnacentral:rRNA from 1 species
GCCGGCGACCGGCGCACGGGUGAGUAACGCGUAUCCAACCUUCCGCACACUCGGGGAUAGCCUUUCGAAAGAAAGAUUAAUACCCGAUGGUAUGAUGAGAUUGCAUGAUUGCAUCAUUAAAGAUUCAUCGGUGUGCGAUGGGGAUGCGUUCCAUUAGGCAGUAGGCGGGGUAACGGCCCACCUAACCGACGAUGGAUAGGGGUUCUGAGAGGAAGGUCCCCCACAUUGGAACUGAGACACGGUCCAAACUCCUACGGGAGGCAGCAGUGAGGAAUAUUGGUCAAUGGGCGAGAGCCUGAACCAGCCAAGUAGCGUGAAGGAUGAAGGUCCUACGGAUUGUAAACUUCUUUUAUAAGGGAAUAAACCCUCCCACGUGUGGGAGCUUGUAUGUACCUUAUGAAUAAGCAUCGGCUAACUCCGUGCCAGCAGCCGCGGUAAUACGGAGGAUGCGAGCGUUAUCCGGAUUUAUUGGGUUUAAAGGGAGCGCAGACGGGCCGUUAAGUCAGCUGUGAAAGUUCGGGGCUCAACCUUGAAAUUGCAGUUGAUACUGGCGUCCUUGAGUGCGGUUGAGGUGUGCGGAAUUCGUGGUGUAGCGGUGAAAUGCUUAGAUAUCACGAAGAACUCCGAUU